GCAGUCGUGGUCGAGCGAUUAAGGCGAUGGACUAGAAAUUCAUUGGGGUCACCCCGCACAGGUUCGAAUCCUGUCGACUGCG
rfam:Ixodes scapularis strain Wikel colony gcontig_1108379176608, whole genome shotgun sequence.